AACGCUUUCGGGGACCCUGGUACAGGCAGGCCGGGACUCCCCUUCUUUACAACCGGGACUCAUACCGCUCACAGCGACGAGUCCAGAUGCUUUCGGGAACCCUGGUACAGGCAGGCCAGGACUUCCCUCUUUUAUUCCUCCCGGAGAUUGAUCGCCAAUCUCCAGCGGCCGUCUACCGUCGCGCCGGCCC
rnacentral:ncRNA from 1 species